CUUGUUAUGGUUUGUAUAUGCAAGGCCCAGGGGGUGGCACCAUUAGAAGGUGUGGCCAUGUUGGAGUAGGUGUGCCACUGUGGGCGUGGGCUUUAAGACUCUCACCCCAGCUGCCUGGAAGUCAGUAUUCUGCUAGCAGCCUUCAGAUGAAGAUGUAGAACUCUCAGCUCCUCUUGCACCAUGCCUGCCUGGAUGCUGCCAUGCUCCCACCUUGACGAUAAUGGACUGAAACUCUGAACCUGUCGAGUCCAAGGAAAGGCUGCAUGAGUAUCAGCCUGAACUUGAGUGGGCAGCCCAUUUGCUCCUGGAACCAAUUUCUUUGUGGCUCCCGUAAUCCUUUCUUCCCCAUCAUGAAGAGGAUCUGGAACAGCUGCUGACAGUUAUGCCAGGUGGGCAGGUAGGUCAGAAUGAUUGAAUUUAGAGGACCUGUGAGAGUUGAUGGGCCUUCUGAAAAUGGAGAGUUUUGUAACUUCUAAUUGCAAGGUUCAUCAUUGGCAAAUGACACAUAUGUCAUGAACAGUCUCCCCUGAGCAUCUGGGGGUCCCAUCGCCCAAAGAGGCAAGGCCACAGGAGAGUCAACCCUCUGGGCAGUAUGGGCCCAAGUGUGUGGUGGACUCCAUUUAGAGUCAGGGACUGUUCCUCCCUCGGCCUGUGCUGGCUGGGCAGGGCCAGCAGUGGCACCAGCAGGAACAUAAGGAGGGGGACAGAGAUCCUCCUCAGGAGCACAAAGGGGAGCAGGGGAGGGGGCUGAGGCCUACCCUUCUUUAGAGGAAGAAGGGUGGGAGGGAAACAUCAAGGCCCCAGGCCUCAUAAACUAAACCUGUGCCCUAUAAAUGAUGGGGAGAUGGAAAGUCCCCUCCUCAGUCCAUUCUAUUUUAUAGGUGGGCCAUUCAUUCCUCCUGUAAGAGAUGUUUAGUGUGUGGAGAUGAACAACCAGACUGAGUCUUCUGUGACUCUGCAAAAGUCCUUAAAAUGGUUCAGAACCAAGCCCAGUGCUCUGGGCCUGUUCUGUCCUAGAAAUCCAAGAAAAAUGUGUGCGAGAGGACAAUAAUCACAAGCAGAAUACACACAGACACAUAAGGACAUUCCAGGAAAAGCAGAAACAAAACCAAAAGGCUGUCUCUGCGGGUCUUCCUUCCUGCGCAUGGGAGCCCCACAGCAGGUUCAGAAUCCAGACGAGAUCUAGCAAGUUCUCCAGUUUCUGGCAGGCUGUUGGGAAUGUCCUCUAUUGCCCCUGGCCAGAUGACAAAAUACCUGUCCGCUUUGUCCCUCUUGACCUCCAGAUUAAACUGGAAACAGAAUUAAACCCGAAUCAGAAACAGAUAUAGACAAGACAAAAGAUAACCAGAUGCCCAGAUGUACGAUUUGAAAAACACUCAACUAUUUGGCCAGGGGGGUCUCUAUCAAAUCCUGGAUGACCCCCAAAUGUCAGGGUCCAUGAUUCACUGAAGAAUGACACCCUAACCUCAAAAGGCAUAUAAAUGCAAAGAGUGUUUUCUUCUGCAGAAGUCCAUUGUCUCCCAUGAUCAAGACAGAGAGACAACCAAGAGGGCAUGCAGGCCUGAUUUAAAGCACUUUAGGGAACCCAUUCCCGGGCAUGGGGGCCGGCUGGAGCCGCAGACCCAUUGUCCUUGCUUCAGGCCAGGUGGCAGGACAGUUUCUGACUCUCUGCCUGAAGCCUGGGUUUUUAGCUGCACUGUCUUGAACUUCCUCUUGGAAGCCUGUCAUGGAGUCAGCCUGACUAAUCACUUAUGUGAACUGCGCAGGAUAGUGAGCUCUCAAAGACACAGGCAGAGUGGGGACCAGGAGAAAGGAAUGGGAAUUCCCAUCCACUUUUGAGUUUGGAGAGAUGACAUUGUGGGUAAGGAGAUGUCAAGGGAGACUACACAACACGGAUAUACUUAAUACCACAAAGUGGAUGCUUAAAUGUGGUUAAGUGGUACAUAUUUCACUGCAUUAAAAAUGUUAGAUAUUUUCAGUUUGUCCCGAACAAAGCUCUAGCAUCUGAUCCGCCUACCUGACAGGUCUGUGUUCCAGUCUCCCAUAAUGUUGGGAAUCUAGUAUUAGCUCAAGGGUCCUUGAGUGGUGACACAGAGGACACUACCAGAUGCAAGAUUGAUAGUGGAAAGGACAAUCAAGGGGACAAUCAAGGACAGGCUGAAUGGGUGUCAGAGGCUCCCACCCUUGCUCUUUCCGUUCUCCUAGUUGGGGACAGUCAUCUAGUCCCUCACUUCCCCUGCUUAAGAAAAAAAAUCCUCAACUCAGUAACUCAGCAAAAAGAUUAUUGCAUGGUGGUUCACAGCCUCGUGACUCAGUGUUAUGUAACAACCUGGUCUGCUUUAAAAUAAAACACAUCAAAACACAAACGGCACUUUUCUGUUACAUUUUAAUUUUCUUGGCGUGUCUGUGCGCGACUGGAGGUUAGGGAAUGAUUUUUAGGCAUCAGUUCUCUGCUUCCAUCCACAGGUGUCCUGAGCCCUGGGCUAUCUCAGGGAAAGCCUGCCCCUCAUCUUUUGUUUUACCUUUUUUUUCUUUAAAAAAAAGCAUUCAUAGGGGGCUGGAGAGAUGGCUUAGCAGUCAAGAGCACUGACUGCUCUUCCAAAGGUCCUGAGUUCAAAUCCCAGCAACCACAUGGUGGCUCACAACCAUCUGAUCUGUAACAAGAUCUGACUCCCUCUUCUGGUGUGUCUGAAGACAGCUACAGUGUACAUACUUACAUAUAAUAAAUACAUCUUUUUAAAAAAGCA